rnacentral:rRNA from 1 species
UACGUAGGGGGCAAGCGUUGUCCGGAAUCAUUGGGCGUAAAGAGCGUGUAGGCGGCCUGGUAAGUCCGCUGUGAAAGUCCAGGGCUCAACCCUGGAAUGCCGGUGGAAACUGUCAGGCUCGAGUCCGGAAGAGGCGAGUGGAAUUCCUGGUGUAGCGGUGGAAUGCGUAGAGAUCCGGAAGAACACCGGUGGCGAAGGCGGCCUGCUGGGCAGUUUUGCUGACACUGAGGCGCGACAGCGUGGGGAGCAAACAGG